AAAAUGCAAAUAUAAUAGUGAUAGACCGAUUUUAUCGGCCGGCCGAUAUAUCGGGCCGAUAUUUGCGUUUUUACGUGUAUCGGCAUCGGCCGAUAUGCGGCUGCUGCGUUCGUCGAUAGUUUUUUCCCGGCAUUAUUUACAGACAGGCGUCCACAGGCAGCUCUGUGUUGCUGGAGACGCUGCAGU